GGUUAAGCGACUAAGCGUACACGGUGGAUGCCCUGGCAGUCAGAGGCGAUGAAGGACGUGCUAAUCUGCGAAAAGCGUCGGUAAGGUGAUAUGAACCGUUAUAACCGGCGAUGUCCGAAUGGGGAAACCCAGUGCAAUUCGUUGCACUAUCGUUAACUGAAUACAUAGGUUAACGAGGCGAACCGGGGGAACUGAAACAUCUAAGUACCCCGAGGAAAAGAAAUCAACCGAGAUUCCCCCAGUAGCGGCGAGCGAACGGGGAGCAGCCCAGAGUCUGAAUCAGCUUGUGUGUUAGUGGAACGGUCUGGAAAGUCCGACGGUACAGGGUGAUAGUCCCGUACACCAAAAUGCACAGGUUGUGAACUCGAAGAGUAGGGCGGGACACGUGGUAUCCUGUCUGAAUAUGGGGGGACCAUCCUCCAAGGCUAAAUACUCCUGACUGACCGAUAGUGAACCAGUACCGUGAGGGAAAGGCGAAAAGAACCCCGGCGAGGGGAGUGAAAAAGAACCUGAAACCGUGUACGUACAAGCAGUGGGAGCACCUUCGGGUGUGACUGCGUACCUUUUGUAUAAUGGGUCAGCGACUUAUAUUCUGUAGCAAGGUUAACCGUAUAGGGGAGCCGCAGGGAAACCGAGUCUUAACUGGGCGUUAAGUUGCAGGGUAUAGACCCGAAACCCGGUGAUCUAGCCAUGGGCAGGUUGAAGGUUGGGUAACACUAACUGGAGGACCGAACCGACUAAUGUUGAAAAAUUAGCGGAUGACUUGUGGCUGGGGGUGAAAGGCCAAUCAAACCGGGAGAUAGCUGGUUCUCCCCGAAAGCUAUUUAGGUAGCGCCUCGUGAAUUCAUCUUCGGGGGUAGAGCACUGUUUCGGCUAGGGGGUCAUCCCGACUUACCAACCCGAUGCAAACUACGAAUACCGAAGAAUGUUAUCACGGGAGACACACGGCGGGUGCUAACGUCCGUCGUGAAGAGGGAAACAACCCAGACCGCCAGCUAAGGUCCCAAAGUCAUGGUUAAGUGGGAAACGAUGUGGGAAGGCACAGACAGCCAGGAUGUUGGCUUAGAAGCAGCCAUCAUUUAAAGAAAGCGUAAUAGCUCACUGGUCGAGUCGGCCUGCGCGGAAGAUGUAACGGGGCUAAACCAUGCACCGAAGCUGCGGCAGCGACACUAUGUGUUGUUGGGUAGGGGAGCGUUCUGUAAGCCUGCGAAGGUG
rnacentral:rRNA from 1 species